rnacentral:rRNA from 1 species
UUCGCAAUGCCCGAAAGGGUGACGAAGCGACGCCGCGUGCGGGAAGAAGGCCUUCGGGUUGUAAACCGCUGUCGGGAGUUAAGAAAUGCAAGGGUGUUAACAGCAUCCUUGCUUGACUAAGGCUCCGGAGGAAGCCACGGCUAACUCUGUGCCAGCAGCCGCGGUGAUACAGAGGCGGCAAGCGUUGUUCGGAAUUAUUGGGCGUAAAGAGCACGUAGGCGGCUGUGUAAGUCGGUUGUGAAAGCCUUCCGCUUAACGGGAGAACGGCAUCCGAUACUGCAUGGCUUGAGUGCGGGAGGGGAGAGUGGAACUUCUGGUGGAGCGGUGAAAUGCGUAGAUAUCAGAAGGAACACCGGCGGCGAAGGCGACUCUCUGGCCCGUAACUGACGCUGAGUGUGCGAAAGCUAGGGGAGCAAACGGGAUUAGAUACCCCGGUAGUCCUAGCCGUAAACGAUGGGCACUAAGUAGAGGGGUUUU